GAAUCCCUCAUGCCGAGCCGACUCCGAUGGUCACCACGACACAGGCGCCAAAAGACUGUGACGUCUACUGCAAGCCAUCGAAGGGCAAAGUGAAGAUCACGCUGCAGAAAUACUGCAAGAAGGACUACGCGCUUCACCUCCACCUGGUGAGCCGCUCGGCGGUGCGCGAGUGGACGCGCUUCACCGCCGAGAUCCGCUCCGUCUUCAAGUGGGGCGG